GCCGGGGACACCAGCGCUGCGGUGCGGCGCGGGCGGGCCCGGGCGGGUGUCCCACCUUCCAGCCCCGAGCUGCCCCUUUCCGCUCAGCGUUGCGCUCCCUCGCCCGCCUGGGCAUGGGGCCUGCCCCAGCGCCGGGGCGGGCCGGGCCGUCGGUCUGGUCGGGGCCCUGCGUCUCCCACUGCUGCACAUCAUCCUCCCGCCUCUGCCGAGAGCCUGGAUCCGUCUCCUCCUCGCUGGCUUCCCCGCAGGCGGCUGUGCUGCCCCACAAAGGCAUCUUGCGUCCCGUCACGGAGCAGGCCCUGGUGCCUCGGCCUUGCCUCCGAGCCGGCGCUCCAGCACCAGAGCGUCGUGGCGGCCUUGCGCUGAACUCGGACAGGACUGCUGCAAGGGAUUCCUCCUCCUCCUCCUCCUCCUCUUCCUCAGCUGCAGGACAGCGCAUGUGUCCCUGAGUUUCAUCAGGCUCCUUUUGACCCAUUUCUCCAGCCUGUGGAGGUACUGUGCUUACCAAGGCCACAGACCCAUGUGCAGAGACCCCCACUGUUGUGGAAGUGCAUGCACCAGCUGGUCUAAAGAAAAGGAGAAGCAGAAAGGAGGAGAGGAGGGAGCAUACAGGAUGUGUGCACUGCCAAGCUGAGAGUACAGAUUUCCAAAUCAACAUGAUUUUCUUCAUUUGUGGGAACUCAGUGAAAGAAUUGAAGCCAACAGGGUGUGACGGAUGGAAAAGCAAUUGUUAAAACUAGGUGUGCUUUUUCCUUUGCCUUGUUCAUUCGACAUGAGGAAUGGGAACAGGCAGAUGAGGGAACUCAGAGAACAUGCUGUGCACGUGGAAGCUUGUCAGCUUUUCCCAGUUAGAUCUAACCCAACUUGUUUACCUCCAUCUGGGAUCUGCCAUACAAUCAGAUGGGAAAGAAGUGAAAAGGGAGCUAUCUGUGCAUUACUAAGACUCUUUGCAAACCAGCCCUUGCCCAGGUCGCUCCUCUCCACUCUCCUCUGUAUUUCUCUUCUGUUCUCACUUGAUCAUUUCCAGUGUGCUUUGCUAGUUGCAGAGCAGUGUAUUCUCCCCUACCAGACCUGUGCCAUGGUACCUAGUUCACCUUUUCCAACUGCAGUAAUAUGCUGGAGCAUAAACAUCCCCACUGCAGUGGGGAAUCACAGGUAGGGUGUUUGCUGCUGUCAGCAAGGUUUGGAUGAAUUAUUUGUAGUUGUUCAGUCUCUUCUCAGCUUUGGGAACAGUCAAGCCAGAAGGAAAUCCUUAAGUGUUAGAAAAGAGAAUGCAAGUGUUUAAAAUUUGGAUGUUUGCUGCAAUGGGUUGUCUGCAACAUUAACUGGUGAGGCUGGUGGCUUAUGCCAGUGACACUGGAGCUCUGCCUUCCUGGAGAGGUGUUUUCAUGGAAAGCUGCCCGAGAACCAUGUACUUCAGCAGUGACCUGUCACAGAGGCAGGGGACAACAUGUGAGCUGUUACAGAAAGCAGUGCAUUGGAGUGAGUCCAGAGCAGCUGGCUCUCUGCUCCCAGGCUGCGUGUCUGGAGCAGUGUCACAUCCUCUGUUUUGUGUAGAGCCAUCCAAGGCCUUGAGCAAUAGGUAACUGGUCUAGAUACAGUCUAUAUGACUGCUGCUCCAGAGGUCGUGUGACUGUGAAGUGGAGGCAUUCAAACAACUACGUUUGCACAGAAAUCCCAGGAAUUAAAGAUUUUCUCUUAAACAACCAGUGUAAAACUGCUGAGGCCACAAACCUCACCUCUUUUGUCUCCCUUAGCUAGCAAAGAUCUCACUAUGCAGGGGCCCAUUUUACAUAGCACCUGUCAAAUCCUUCAUUUAACCUCAGCCUCAAUGUUGAAGCCUGGAGGAAGGUAACAGGGGCAGACCAGGGCUCCUAAAACAGAAGUGGGGAUACCGAGCAUUCCCCACUGAAUCUUGUGGUUCAGGAAAAAAAGGUGGAUACUUUUCUAGUGGGGAAUUUCAGUGGCAAAGGUAUCACAUUAUCAAGACAUUCACACAUUGUCCGGGCUGGGGUAGUAUGGUUAGCAGUGAGAUACCCAUCUGUGAAAUGGAAUUAUUUCUGUCUCCCCUUCUUUGUAUGGAGGCACUAAGAAGUUAAUAAAGAUGGUAUGAAGCUUUUCUACCUCCAGCAGCCCACCAGUUACUGAUGUAAGUCCAGAUCAUCUACUCACCAGUCAACAGAUCAGAACCAUAAAACCACCUUCACUGAUUAGUCCUUCAAAGGCUGAAGAGGCUCAGGCUCUGCAAAUUCUCGGACUGCAGACAAAAAUAAAAGCAACUUAAAAUUUUGUGAUCCAGUCUUGACAAAGCUGUAUUUGGAACAAGGCGUGAUUAAUAUGUCAUUGCCAUAAUAACAACCUGGAGCUCAGACUGGCUGAAGCACUCAAUACAGAGGGAUUAGUCCAAACACAACCACCACAUGCCAUCAGGAGCUUGAAAUUCAGAGCAAAUCUAGCCAAGGACAGCUCGAAACCUUUCUUUCAAGAUUUAAGACAAAUUCUGUCUAGAACUGCCUGUUCAGAGAGGAGCGAGGAGCUGAGCUGCCUCAAGACACACAACAUCUUGUCAUUUAAAAAAAAAAAAAAAGAAAAACAAAUAUUUAGAAAGGAAUAAAAGGAGUAUGACUGCUCUGGAUAUAGGUGACUGUGGAAGCCAGCAAUGAGGCCGUUGGAGAAGCUUUUCAGCAAAGCAGGGGGGGUCAGUGCAAUCCCUGCCCCAUCAUCACCAGAGGUCCCUCACUCUCGGAGCCAGAAGCACUGCAGCAACUGAGCAGAUCUUGAUUAGAAAAUGACCUUUCAAGAGCUCUCUGGGGUUCAUAACUUCCAUGAUUAACUGUCACUUCAGCAUUUUUUUAGGUCGCUGCUCUAAUUGUUGUAUCUAGAUAGGCCCUGAAGCUGUUAAUGCUUUCUACGGGUGGUGGGAUCACACAUUUGGACACGACAUCGCUUGCAUCCUGGUGGCAGAUUAACUGGCCUAAUGAAACAUGUUGCUAUUGAUUUCCUCCCCUCUUCCUUGCUGAGGGCAAUCACUUUAUCUUUGCUCUGCUAAGUAUAUUCAGCAUUUGACUUCUGCAUAUCUCUGUGAUUUUAACACAUCAAAGAGCCUAAGCAAUUUUAAUGUGGCAGCAAAUUUACAGCCAGGUCUGCAGUAUUCUACACAAUAUUUUUGCAACUGAAUAAACUUGUGGAUCUUCUAGAUUCACUCAUUUAUAACAAACACACGGUUUUUGUUCUGAUGAAAUAGAAUAUUGGCUUUCAAGUCCUUUAUACCAAAAGGUUGGGUCAGAUCCAGGAUCCUGAGGACACCGGCUGAGCAUUCACAGCCGGCAGCCCCAUUUCCUUCCUCCUUUUCAAGCAAAAGAAAACCAGGCAGGUCUGUAACAGCUGCAGCAAUGAGAGACUGGAAAGGCAAAGUGUGUUAUGAAAAGCCGCUCUGUAUAUCACACUGUCUUAUUGUCCACAUUUUCCUCUGUGGGAGGCCAGUGGGACAACAUAGUCUCGAAGGAAAACAGAUCUGUGAGUUCAUCUUGGGUCUGCCUCACCUGCCUCUGCAAAGAGCAGCAAGGGGGUACGUUACCCAGCUCAGCACUGUCCCAGCGGAGGAGGAGCUGCUGAUGAGAGCCAGACAAGGAAAGUGGAGAAAAACAAAGCACACGCUUCCUUGGGCAGACUCCUUCCAGCCACCCGGGAACCACUGGUCACCCAUUGCCUUUGGGAGCAGGACUGUGGGUGCAGGGGAUGCUGCUGCUCAGCAUUGUGCCUUCCCCAAGCAUCUCCCGCACCCCUCUCCUGUCCUUGCACAAUUCUUGCCAACAGGCAGCUACGGUGAUAGCACACACUGUUCUUUUGACACACAUGGCUCGUUUCUUCUGCUUCAGCCUUUGCUGCCAGUGUGAUAAAGCAGUUGAUUUGUAUGGUGGAUGCUCCCUCUCCUUGUGUGGUUACACGAGAGUAUUAGUGUGUUUUAAGAAAAGAAAGCUGAUUUUUGGCUGGCAGCUGCUGAACUGUACUGUGCCUUUGUGUGCUGCAGGGACUGCUAGAGCAGAGUGUUUUUCUCAGCCAUUUCACUAGAUUUAUUUAUUUUCAAGGCAAGUGUGUGUUUUCAGGCAAAAAGCAGAUGCAGACAAGCCCUGUGAGCAGCCCUGCUCUGACCCAGGCACUGGGAACCCAUUUCCACUACAUCCCUGAGCAAUGAAUCCCCACCCUGCACCCCCUUCACCACUCAUGCACUGUUCCUGGACUACUCAGGGACCAGCUUGCACACCCAAGUUUCCAGUAGAGGGGUGAGAAAACAACCUGUGCCCCCCUGGCCCCCAGCCAACUGGGACCUCGGCCUCAGGAGGCUUUUGUGCAGAGGGAUAUGUAUUGGUCCUACAGAGCACCUGAGCAGCCCUUCCCAGCUGCUGAGCUUUCCUGGAGCAUCAGGUCCACCCGCAGACCUGUCCUCUCCCAGCAUCAGCCUCUCGCACCCAAUCCAGCCCCAGGGCACCGCAGUGGAGGUGUCUGAGGGUUUUUCCUGUCUUUCCCCAGGAAUGUGGAAAAAAAGGCACAUGGUGUUGUAUAGCGCUAUACACUAUAGAUGCCGCAGAGAUUUCCUAUUAUGUGGAAUAGAUGCAGAUGGUUGAGGUGGCUGCAGGGCCAUGGGAAGUAGAGUGGCACUUGUAUGCACUCGUGUCAAAUCUUGCCAAUCUUUUUGCACUGUAGAAGCUCAGUGUUGUUUUAAAUCACUGAAGUACAAAUUUAGAUUCUGUAUUCCUUGGAAAUAAAGGCGGCAGGAAUACAGAAUCCACCUCGUUGUGUGCAGUUUUCGUUACAGUGAACAUAUUUCUUGGUUUAAAGUCAUGGAAUUGCAAAUUUGUCCUGCGACAAGUUUUCUGUCCGUCCCUGCUGUGUAACAGAAGACAGCAGUGCUGUCCUUAGAGCAGGGAGCAGCCCUUACUUGGAAAGCCAAUGCUAACCUGAAACCAGGUGAGAGUCUGGAUCAAUAUUUUUCCGGCUAAUCCUCUGAAGGGACGGGAGGGGAUGGGCUAAAUGAUGACAUAAAUUAAAGUAAGGUGAGUUGCAACCUCCUCCACAAAACAUCAACCAAAUUUGUGGAUGGCUUGAUCCUGGUCCAAACCAAUGCAGCAAACCCAACACCAGCCCAGGGAAGUGGAGGCUUGUCACUUCCAUCAUUUGGUAACCCUGGAUGACAUCUAGAAGUACGCCUCUUCCUAAUCCAUUAAUUCUGUGGAUAUUCAUUUGUAUUGAAGAAACACUGUUAGUUCCUGGGAGUUCCCCACAGAAAGUCAAUUUAAGGGCUGAUUGCUGGAAAGUGUCACGUUGCCACCUGGGGUUUCAGCUGCAAUUGCAGGGAUUAAGUCCAGCAUGAGGAACAAAGUGGUCAACAUGUAAAACCAGAUUAAAGGAAAAUUAAAGCAUG